rnacentral:tRNA from 1 species
GUUGUGACUCAGUGGUAGUGCACUCGUCUGGCAUGUGUGAGGCACUGGGUUCGAUCCUCAGCUCGACA